rnacentral:rRNA from 1 species
GAUGAACGCUGGCGGCGUGCUUAACACAUGCAAGUCGAACGGUGAACACGGAGCUUGCUCUGUGGGAUCAGUGGCGAACGGGUGAGUAACACGUGAGCAACCUGCCCCUGACUCUGGGAUAAGCGAUGGAAACGGCGUCUAAUACUGGAUAUGUGACGUGACCGCAUGGUCUGCGUCUGGAAAGAAUUUCGGUUGGGGAU